GGGCAGGUAGCUCAGCUGGUAGAGCAACGGACUGAAAAUCCGUGUGUCGGCGGUUCAAAUCCGCCCCUGCCCA
rnacentral:tRNA from 1 species